rnacentral:rRNA from 1 species
ACUGCUAUCGGAUUGGUACUAAGCCAUGUGAGUCAUUGUAGCAAUACAAGGCAUACGGCUCAGUAACACGUAGUCAAUCUACCCUAUGGACGGGGAUAACUUCGGGAAACUGAGGAUAAACCCCGAUAGAUCAUAAUGCCUGGAAUGGUUUAUGGUCCAAACGAUUCGUCGCCGUAGGAUGGGACUGCGGCCUAUCAGCUUGUUGGUGAGGUAAUGGCCCACCAAGGCGAUUACAGGUACGGGCUCUGAGAGGAGAAGCCCGGAGAUGGGUACUGAGACACGGACCCAGGCCCUAUGGGGCGCGGCAGGCGAGAAACCUUUGCAAUGUGCGCAAGCACGACAAGGUUAAUCCGAGUGAUUCCUGCUAAAGGAAUCUUUUGUUAGUCGUAAAACCACUAGUGAAUAAGGGGUGGGCAAGUUCUGGUGUCAGCCGCCGCGGUAAAACCAGCACCUCAGGUGGUCAGGAGGAUUAUUGGGCCUAAAGCAUCCGUAGCCUGUUCUGUAAGUUUCCGGUUAAAUCCAUUAGCUCAACUAAUGGGCUGCCGGAAAUACUGUAGAACUAGGAAGUGGGAGAGGUAGACGGUACUCGGUAGGAAGGGGUAAAAUCCUUUGAUCUAUUGAUGACCACCAGUGGCGAAGGCGGUCUACCAGAACACGUUCGACGGUGAGGGAUGAAAGCUGGGGGAGCAAACCGGAUUAGAUACCCGGGUAGUCCCAGCUGUAAACGAUGCAGACUCGGUGAUGCCCUGGCUUGUGGCCAGUGCAGUGCCGCAGGGAAGCCGUUAAGUUUGCCGCCUGGGAAGUACGUACGCAAGUAUGAAACUUAAAGGAAUUGGCGGGGGAGCACCACAAGGGGUGAAG